GCCAUUUUAAAUUAAAUAGUUUGGAUAUGAAAGCUAUUUAGUACAAUUAAAUAAAAGCAAUUGCAAGAUUGCUCUAAAAAGUCUUUGGGUGCUCCAUUGGUUGUCUGCGAUAGAAAGUCCAUGACAAAUAAAAUGAUGACCAGGAACCCUACACUAAUUAUCUUGACCUUUCCACCCGGGGGUCUGGUUUUAAAUGAUUACAACACCCUUGCUCCAAUGCUCGCAAAUAGCGUUAUCCUAAAUCAAAAGUUCAACUCGCAUGAUAUCCAAGUUUACUGCUACAUAUCCAAGUUGUCAUUUACAGAGUCCAGAAAAAGUUCAAUCAAAGCUGGGCGAAAAGCAGUUGUUUUGGUGCUGCAUUUUUCCACUUGACAACUAAAUGGUGAGAACAUGGCAAGAGAUUUUACCUCGUAGCAGCUCUUGCACUCAUGGAUGAAUGGUAGUUAGUGCUUCGUUGUUUCCUAUAAGAUUUGUAAACAUCAUCGUAUUGACUUGCCUCAUUAGGGUCAGCCACUGCCCCAAGCCCCAACCUUCCCGUGCCCGUAGAUCCUGGUUUCCGCUCCACACUCCCAUCAGCGUAAGCCCCAGUCUCUGGGUCAACAUGUAAGUUAGGGGGUGGAGGGAUGCAAGCUCCUCCUUUACGAAUGGGAGUAUCUCUCUCAUGCUCAUCCUCCUCAUCUUUCGAAUGAGACUUUAUAACUCCCUCAAAUGGGUUAAUCUCUCCAAUCUCUUUAAAGAAUUUUGACACUCUCUCUAAAAUUUCUGAUGGGGAUACGCUAGAUGGGGGUAUAACUGUUGGGAUGUCCAAAGGACUCAAAGGAGAGUAGGGCACCCCACUGCCAAUCUGCAUCUUUUUAACCAUGCCAGGAAUAAGACCAGGCGGGAACAAUGGAUAUGGCGGUAACUUUUCACCAGCAUUAGCAGGAGGUGUCUGCAAAUGUGGUGCAGGCUGUUGAUUGGCUGGUUGAACGGAAGAAUUUACUGGCAAGGACCCUGGAAAAGUUCCAGCAGGGACUGAAUUUGGCAUAAAUUGUUGGUUUCCUAGGGAUUGUGGAAUAGCUAAGGCCACUUGUUUAUCAUGAUGAUCCUGUUCUGCUACACUUUGCCUAUCAGGCUGCCAUUGUGGAGCAUUAUAGUUUGUUGGUUCAUAUGUAAAGCCUGUAGCAGCCAAGGAAUCCGCUGAAGCAUUAGUUAAUUCUUUUGGAGGCCCAGGAAAAGAAUUUGCUGGUAGUCCACCCACCAUCUCAACUUUAAGUACAUAAAUAUUUUCUUGAUCAUAAACUUCCUUGGAAGCCCAGAAAUGCAGAAUUUUCUGUAACCGUAGCUGAUUUUCAUCCUUAUUUUGAGGGUUGUGAUAGACUCUCGCAAGCAUGGGACCCAGAACUGGCUUAAAUGCAAGGGCCUCAUUAUCAAGUUCAUGGAGGUUGACCCUCCUCUGCAAACUGUCAAAAAGAAUAUCAUUAGCGAGAUAAAUAAUAUGCAGUUGCCUUUCAGAAUCAUCUAGAGCAAAAACCCUGUCCCUUAGUGCCUCAGCAAGAGCAGGUGCAAAUGGAGACCUUUGCAUAAACCAAAUUUUGGCACCUUUAAUAGACUCCUUGGUUCCAUUGAGACUGUUAAGAACAUUACUCAGCUCCAGUGCAACAUCAGGAGGAAGUGGAUCAGAAAGACCUUUAAAGGACUUGGAUGGCUGAUCAAAAUGUAGACGUCCACGAGCCCCAAAGGCCUGAGAAUGCUGAUGUUGAUGCUGCUGUGUAUCAUAAAAAGGAGGAAAAGGAGGUUGGUGCAUUGGAGUACCCACCAUUGAGGCUGAAGGCCCAACAGCGGGAUUCAUCAUUGGGUUUGGCGGGGGAUGCAUCAUUGGCAUAGAAGAAGGAGGGAAAGGAGGGUUGAAUGGCCCAGCUGGGGGAUGUGUAGAUAACCAAAGCUUGUAACGAUAGUAGUUAUGGCCCUCACCCCCAAAGAGGAAACUAUAAGCAGGAUUAUCCUGCUGCUUUUCACGGAUCAUGGCUUCAAAUUCAGGGCCAUUCUUGGUGGCAUACUCUACAAGUUUGUCGAUACGUUUUUGGAGCUCUGUAUCAGAUGGAGGAGCAGCUGGAGGUGGAGUGGAGUCGUAAUGGCCAUGGAAAGGAGAAGGAUAGAGUUGAGGGGGUACAUGGGGAGGGAAAGGAUGGGGAGGAUGUUGUUGAUGAAGAAGGUGUGGAUGGGGAGGAGUGUGAGGAUGGAGCUGAGGUUGCUGCUGCUGCACGUGGUGUGGGUAAGGGAAUUGUUGCAUGGAAUGAUGCGGAGACAUAAAUGGAGGUGGAGAAAACUGCUGAUGUUGAGAAUGAAAUCCAAAUUGUGGCUGUUGCGGUUGAAUAUUGGCAGUUAGACAUUGCUGCUGGGCAAAUGCCAUAGCUGGGGCUGCUGCUGUUGCAUAAUCAUGAGCUUGUCGGUCCAUCAACGUAAUAUGAUAUCCAACUGUUUGUCACUUUUCAAUAAACAUAUCAUGGAGUACCAUAAGAUUAUUAAUAUCACAACCCCAUUUACAUGUCAGAUUAUAUUAUUACCGCAAUGAGAAAGCCUGUAUAUAUAAUUUAGUAGAAACCAGAAGAUUAAAGAAUAGAAAAAAAUAAUAAUAAGGAACACACAUUUUAGUCAAUUUUCAAAGGCUUCAAUUUGGCUGUUUUCUGACAUUUGCAAUAAAAGAUAAGCAAAAAAUGGAAAACAGUAAUUGAUAAAAUAAAUGCAUUAAACUUGAUGUUGAAAAACAUGAGAUCAUAUAUAUAAUAUUAUAUUUAUAUAUAAGUGAAUAUUUCCCACACUUUGAAUAUACUGGUUGUUUAAAAGCAGUUAAUUAGAUUAUCCUAAAGGAUUAUUGCAGACAUAAUUCAUGACUGUUCAAACACUAUAAAUAAGGGAUUUAUGUAUCUUUUACAAUCCUUCAACCUUAUUUACUGCAGAAUGUGUGAUUAAUACCCUCAUAGGAUAACACACAAAAACUUAAUGUUCUUCUUUUAUUCAGGAAUUAUAUUGUGCAACAUUUAUGCAAGUUGUAACCUAAACACUUGAAUAAACAUGCGUAUUUAAAGUAAUUUUGAUAUCCUAUUUGAAAUCCAAAGAGAAAUCUAGACACACUGCAUUUCUUAACAUACUGAGCAAGAAAGAAUAAUCUGAGCUAAUGAAAGAGUUUGCAUGUCUAUAGAUUGAGAGCAAUCAGCCAGUCAAUCCAUCAAUCAAUCAAAUUAUCCUACAGGCGAGGUUUGCACAGAGAGGGAGAUGGCGAUUUACAAAAGCUAAAGAAAGUAAGAUUACUGAA
rnacentral:misc_RNA from 1 species